rnacentral:rRNA from 1 species
UACGUAGGGGGCUAGCGUUGUCCGGAAUCAUUGGGCGUAAAGAGCGUGUAGGCGGCCCGGUAAGUCCGCUGUGAAAGUCGGGGGCUCAACCCUCGAAUGCCGGUGGAUACUGUCGGGCUAGAGUGCUGGAGAGGAUAGCGGAAUUCCUGGUGUAGCGGUGAAAUGCGUAGAUAUCAUUUGGAACGCCAAUGGUGAAAACAGGUAGCUGGGAGUGUGCUGACGCUGAGACACGAAAGCCAGGGGAGCAAACGGG